rnacentral:rRNA from 1 species
GAUGAACGCUGGCGGCGUGCUUAACACAUGCAAGUCGAACGAAGCACUCUAUUUGAUUUUCUUCGGAAAUGAAGAUUUUGUGACUGAGUGGCGGACGGGUGAGUAACGCGUGGGUAACCUGCCUCAUACAGGGGGAUAACAGUUGGAAACGACUGCUAAUACCGCAUAAGCGCACAGGACCGCAUGGUCCGGUGUGAAAAACUCCGGUGGUAUGGGAUGGACCCGCGUCUGAUUAGCCAGUUGGCAGGGUAACGGCCUACCAAAGCGACGAUCAGUAGCCGACCUGAGAGGGUGACCGGCCACAUUGGGACUGAGACACGGCCCAAACUCCUACGGGAGGCAGCAGUGGGGAAUAUUGCACAAUGGGGGAAACCCUGAUGCAGCGACGCCGCGUGAGCGAAGAAGUAUUUCGGUAUGUAAAGCUCUAUCAGCAGGGAAGAAGAAUGACG